rnacentral:rRNA from 1 species
UUACCUGGUUGAUCCUGCCAGUAGUGAUAUGCUUGUCUUAAAGAUUAAGCCAUGCAAGCCUCAGUACAAACUGUUGUAGAGUGAAACCACGAAUGGCUCAUUAAAUCAGUUAUGGUUCCUUGGACGUGCGCAGUUACUUGGAUAACUGUGGUAAUUCUAGAGCUAAUACAUGCAUUUCAGUCACGACCCGAGAGGGGAAGGACGCUUUUAUUAGAUCAAAACCAACCGGCCGGCUCGACCGGUCGCCUCGUUUUGGUGACUCUGGAUAACUUUGUGCCGAUCGCACGGUCUACGCACCGGCGACGUGUUCUUCAAAUGUCUGACUUAUCAACUGACGAUGGUAGGUUCCGCGCCUACCAUGGUUGUAACGGGUAACGGGGAAUCAGGGUUCGAUUCCGGAGAGGGAGCCUGAGAAACGGCUACCACAUCCAAGGAAGGCAGCAGGCGCGCAAAUUACCCACUCCCGGCACGGGGAGGUAGUGACGAAAAAUAACGAUACGGGACUCAUCCGAGGCCCCGUAAUCGGAAUGAGAACAUUUUAAAUCUCUUAACGAUUACCCAUUAGAGGGCAAGUCUGGUGCCAGCAGCCGCGGUAAUUCCAGCUCUAAUAGCGUAUAUUAAAAUUGCUGCGGUUAAAAAGCUCGUAGUUCGACGUGUGUCCCGCGCGGCCGGUUCGCCGCUCGUCGGUGUCACACUGGCUUGCAUGCAGGACGUCCUGUCGGUGGGCGCGAGCCGACUGCGUUGGCGGGCGUUCAGACUGGUGUGGUACCUUCGUGGUGAAACUCCUCGUCGGCAAAACCCACCAGCCGGUUCGUCGCGGCCUCGCGGAAGGCGGACCCCGAUUUCACCCGCCGCGGUGCUCUUAACUGAGUGUCGUGCGGGCCGACACAAUCACUUUGAACAAACUAACGUGCUUCACGCAGGCAAUAUAUCGCUCGAAUAGUCGUGCAUGGAAUGAUUGAAUAAGAGUUUGCUUCCAGCAAGUUGGUUUGCGGAAGGCAACCUAAUGAUUAACGGAGAUGGCCGGGGGCAUCCGUAUUGCGACG